rnacentral:rRNA from 1 species
GACGAACGCUGGCGGCGUGCCUAAUACAUGCAAGUAGGACGCAGUUGCGAACGGGUGAGUAACGCGUAGGUAACUGCCUAUUAGAGGGGGAUAACUAUUGGAAACGAUAGCUAAUACCGCAUACUAGUAGAUGGACCUGCGUUGUAUUAGCUAGUAGGUAGGGUAAUGGCCUACCUAGGCAACGAUACAUAGCCGAACGGCGAGGGUGGUCGGCCAACCUGGGACUGAGACACGGCCCAGACUCCCACGGGAGGCAGCAGUAGGCAAUCUUUGGAAAUGGACGAAAGUCUGACCGAGAAACGCCGCGUGAGUGAAGAAGGUUUUCGGAUCGUAAAACUCUGUUGUUAGAGAAGCGGUAUCUACCCAGAAAGCCACGGCUAACUACGUGCCAGCCGCCGCGGUAAUAC